rnacentral:rRNA from 1 species
CCUACGGGAGGCUGCAGUGAGGAAUAUUCGUCAAUGGGCGCGAGCCUGAACCAGCCAAGUAGCGUGAAUGAUGACUGCCCUACGGGUUGUAAACUUCUUUUAUAAAGGAAUAAAGUGAGGCUCGUAUGCCUUUUUGUAUGUAUUUUAUUAAUAAGGAUCGGCUAACUCCGUGCCAUCAGCCGCGGUAAUACGGUGGAUCCGAGCGUUGUCCGGAUUUAUUGUGUUUAAAGGGAGUGUAGAUGGGUUGUUAAGUUAGUUGUGAAAGUUUGCGGCUCAACCGGAAAAUUGCAAUUGAUACUGGCAGCCUUGAGUACAGUUGAGGUAGGCGGAAUUCGUGGUGUAGCGGUGAAAUGCUUAGAUA